rnacentral:rRNA from 1 species
AUGAUUAAAGAUCUUAUUCUUUCCUCCUGGAAUGUGAGGGGUCUGGGGAGGCCCGCUAAAUGUACUGAUGUUAAAGCCGUGCUUUGCGCUUCAUCCUCUUCGAUCAUCUGCUGCCAAGAAACUAAGCUUAUUGAUAUCCCUCUUUUCAAAGCUAUCUCGUUUCUACCCCAGAACCUUAGGACCUUUGAAUUUCUGCCCUCUCUUGGUGCCUCUGGAGGUAUCCUUACCGCCUGGGAUGACAGCGUUUUUCGCUGCACAAAAGUCCUGAAAAACCAGUUUUGCUUUUGCCUAACCUGCUGGUUCGAAUCUUCUACUGAUGAUUUCACUGUCGUUGUCUCAAACGUCUAUGGCCCCUGCGAUCCCCCCUCCAAGCCCGCCUUUCUUCAGUCCUUGUUGGAUCUGGAACCUCAAAUUUCUGGCCCUUGGACUAUCAUAGGAGAUUUCAACACUACUCUUCGCCCAUCAGACAAAUCCAAUAACAUUUUCAACAUGAACGACGCCCUGCUGUUCUCUUCGGCCAUCCAUACUUUGCAACUACAAGAUCUACCUCUUCUUGACCGACGUUUUACGUGGUCUAACCAACAACAAAGUGCCAUCCUCGUGCGGCUGGACCGUGCCCUUGUGAACGUUGCGUGGGCUCAAAACUUCCCUGACAGUGCCCUCUCCCCUCUAACUAGGACUACCUCUGACCACGUACCACUUAAGCUGACCGCUUCGAUGUCUAUUCCCAAAUCUACUAGCUUUAGGCUGAACAACUCCUUGCUCGCAAACCCCUGCUUCCGCCAGAAGAUCUCUACCAACUGGAAUAGUGUCGGAAACACUCACCAUAAUCUUGCUACCGUGGGCUGUCUUUCCCUCAAGCUUAAAAGAACUAGAGACAUGGCAAAAAAAUGGUCGGCUAACAUUCCUUCUCCCAAGAUCCUUGCCCGUCGGCUAACAUUCCUCAAGCUAGACCUCCGCAUUUUGUGGCUCGGCAGGCGCAGAACUCGACGGCGCCGGUGCUGA